GCAGGAUAGCUUAGCUGGUACAGCGUGAGACUCUUAAUCUCAGGAUUGUGGGUUCAAGCCCCAUGUUGGGCG